UUAUUUCAAAAUUUGAAAUCCAAAAAUGGUAGUUAUUCCUAAAUCUCGGAAAUCAUCGGCAUUCAUCUUUUUUUUUCUCUACUGAUUCGAAAAUGGUAGGUUCAACUAUCAUGGACAUUCUAAAAGAAACCCUAGCCACAAAUCUCCUACCACCUCCUCAAUCACUCUUCAUCAUUUGGUAUUCAACUAGCAAAGCGUCUUCCAGCCACAGACAUCCUCUGGUUAAUCGGUGGAUUCUUCUUCUUGUAGGUCUGACGACUUCAUCUUCUUCAGGCUGUCUUGAAAAUUGAUCCUUCGAGUCUAUGGUUCGACAGUCUAUGAUUGAAAUUGAUCUACAUUUUCCUAUUUGAACGUACAAAUUAACAGGAUAUAGCCUUUAGUGGUGGCAAACCAAGAAAAUGAAGAAACAAUAAUAAUGCCCAGAUAAGUUUUUUUUUUUUUAAAGUAUAAUGUUAUAAUAGGUAGAAUUUUUGAAGUCUAAUGCCUUAGUAGAAAAAAAACCGUAAGGAACAGUGUAGUAAUAGAAAGAAAUAUUUGUUAUACCAUAAUACACAAAAUAAAUGAAGAGACUCUACGAUUUCUUACAUUUAUCCCUUAACUUAAAUUUGCUUUUAUAUUAAAAUUUACAACAUCUUUGUGCACUAUUGUAUAGUUAUGGUCAUGGAUUAGGACAGUUGGAAAUUCAAAUAUUUUUUCAUAACAAAGGCUGCGUUAAGAGGUUGUAUUUGAGAAAAAAUGUUAAGAUGAGAUUUUUAUGUUAGGUAAUAUGCAAGGUGAAGAGAUUUGUAAUGCUUAGUUUUUAAUUAGUUUUCUUUUUCUUUUGAAAUGUGACUACUCUUUAAUGUAUAGGUAGAGGCACUUUCUAAAUAAAGAAAAUGCUAUAGGGGUUGGCAACUUAGUUUCAUCAUAUAACAAUAUUCUUUCUCAAUAUGGUAACUUAGUUUCAUCAAAAAAAUAUCACAAUCCCCAUAAUAACCAAAUACUCCUGCAAUUCCAUUUUUUACUUGAGCCGAGCAUUUAGCAAAUUGAUAGUUUUUGAUAGUUAUUUCAAUGUGCUUUUGGUCUAGGUUUCAAUCACACUUUGGUUUCAAAAUCUCAGCAGGUUAUAUUGAAGUUGGAGGAAGAUUGAUCAUGAUACUAAUAUAGUUAGCUAUGCUGGAAAUGACAUCUUUACCCCUGGUGUUGUUGGGAAACCUUUUUUUUCUUUGAAGUUAACAAAUUUACCCCUGGGUUGGACCUUCUCAGUUCCUAUCUUUGGUUGGUGAUGUUGCAUUAUCCAACUACAGUGGUUUGUCAUUGUUUUACGUCGAUUUCUGAAUCGGAUUGAACCGGUCGGUCUUUAGAAAAAUCCGGUUGAACCGGUUAAACCGAAUUAAAAACAUUUGGAAAAGAACCAUUUGUAUAAUAAACUUUUGUGAUUUUUUUCAAAUCUAUUUUGUUUUCUCUAAA